AAAACCCAAGCAGUGAAGGAAGUCAACAAAGGAAAGUUGAUGUGAUCAUAAUUGAACCAAGGAAGCCCCAUUCCAGCAGCAGAAGUUGGCAGCUUUUGACAGAUGCUGAUUUCUGUGCCGCCAGAGCCGAUUCCAGACUGGACUUCGACAUUGUUAUUCCAAUUGCCCAGCACUUGCCUUGUAUUUAGUAAACACUCCCUCUUGCACCUUCUGAUUGGUUUUAAGAAGAAUCUGAAGGCCUGGAGCGAAGCAGGACAGGCUAGGAAAGACUUCUGGGGAGAGACUGAACUCCAGGAAAGUCAGGGGCUAGAACAUUUGCCAGCUGGACACACGGAUGAAGAAGUGGACCCACACUAGAGACCGAGAGCUUGAUGAAGCUUGGUGGCCAAAGCUGUUUUAUGCCAAGGGCUCAUAGAAAUCGAAUCAAAUCAAAUCCAGGCAGCAUAGCAGGAGAGGAAGAAGACAGACAGAGAUCUGCAGACCGCGCAGGAGAGGAGGAAGACCGAGAUCUGCAGAUCGCCCUGCCACUGACAGACCUGCCUUUGGUGGUCCGUGCGCCGUAGACACCCACUGGAUGGAGGAUAUCACCCAGGCGCCAGCGCCAGCCUGCAACGGGAGUCACCACAGUUUGGGAAUACGUGGUGAACAGAUAGGAGA
rnacentral:sRNA from 1 species